CCUACGGGAGGCAGCAGUGGGGAAUUUUGGACAAUGGGCGAAAGCCUGAUCCAGCAAUGCCGCGUGAGUGAAGAAGGCCUUCGGGUUGUAAAGCUCUUUUGUCAGGGAAGAAACGGUGAGGGCUAAUAUCUCUUGCUAAUGACGGUACCUGAAGAAUAAGCACCGGCUAACUACGUGCCAGCAGCCGCGGUAAUACGUAGGGUGCAAGCGUUAAUCGGAAUUACUGGGCGUAAAGCGUGCGCAGGCGGUUUUGUAAGUCUGUCGUGAAAUCCCCGGGCUCAACCUGGGAAUUGCGAUGGAGACUGCAAGGCUAGAAUCUGGCAGAGGGGGGUAGAAUUCCACGUGUAGCAGUGAAAUGCGUAGAGAUGUGGAGGAACACCGAUGGCGAAGGCAGCCCCCUGGGUCAAGAUUGACGCUCAUGCACGAAAGCGUGGGGAGCAAACAGGAUUAGAUACCCUGGUAGUCCACGCCCUAAACGAUGUCUACUAGUUGUCGGGUUUUAAUUAACUUGGUAACGCAGCUAACGCGUGAAGUAGACCGCCUGGGGAGUACGGUCGCAAGAUUAAAACUAGAAGUAGUGACGUGNGACGUGCGACGAGACACAGGAGGUUAGG
rnacentral:rRNA from 1 species